rnacentral:rRNA from 1 species
GAGAGAGACAUGCGCGCAUAUCAAUAAGCGGAGGAAAAGAAACUAACAAGGAUUCCCCUAGUAACGGCGAGUGAAGCGGGAAGAGCUCAAAUUUGAAAUCUUAAAGGGUUUCCCUUUACGAAUUGUAGUUUAAAGAAGUGUUUUCUGUUGAGGUUUUGGUAAAAGUUCUUUGGAAUAGGACAUCAUAGAGGGUGAGAAUCCCGUAUUUGACCUUUACUUUCAACUUUGUGAUACACUUUCAAAGAGUCGGAUUGUUUGGGAAUGCAGUCCAAAAUGGGUGGUAAAUUUCAUCUAAAGCUAAAUAUUGGCGAGAGACCGAUAGCGAACAAGUACCGUGAGGGAAAGAUGGAAAGAACUUUGAAAAGAGAGUUAAACAGUACGUGAAAUUGUCAAAAGGGAAGCGUUUGACACCAGUGUUGUUUUUCUGAAAAUCAAUUAAAGAACUGUUUAUGCUAAGUUGUUUAGACUUUAUCAGCUAUCUGUUUAGUUUUGAGCUUUUCUUUAAUGCACUUUUCAGUUAACAAGUCAACAUCAAUUUCUUUUGCUGUAAAAAAGCUUGAGGAAGGUGGCUUGAGAUUCGUCUUAAGUGUUUAUAGCCUCUUGCCUAUGCAGUCGGAGAGAUUGAGGUCUGCAGCGUAGAUCCUUCGGGGCUAAAUGCAUUUGUGCUAAGUUAUAGCAUUUUAUAGACAACUUGUUGACUAUGAUUUGUUUCGUAGCUUACUCGCUUAUGUUAUUUUACCUACGCUUAGGAUGUUGACGCAUGAGAUAUACGC